rnacentral:rRNA from 1 species
GAUGAACGCUGGCGGCGUGCCUAAUACAUGCAAGUCGAGCGGCAGCACGGUCUUCGGACUGGUGGCGAGCGGCGGACGGCUGAGUAACGCGUAGGAAUAUACCCCAAAGUGAGGGAUAACUGCCCGAAAGGUGGCUAAUACCGCAUGUGGUCUUCGGACUAAAGCCUUCGGGCGCUUUGGGAAUAGCCUGCGUAAGAUUAGCUAGUUGGUGAGGUAAUGGCUCACCAAGGCGACGAUCUUUAGCUGGUCUGAGAGGAUGACCAGCCAGACUGGAACUGAGACACGGUCCAGACUCCUACGGGAGGCAGCAGUAGGGAAUUUUCCACAAUGGGCGAAAGCCUGAUGGAGCAACGCCGCGUGCAGGAUGAAGGCCCUCGGGUCGUAAACUGCUUUUAUGUGCGAAGAAUAUGACGGUAACACAUGAAUAAGGGUCGGCUAACUACGUGCCAGCAGCCGCGGUAAU